rnacentral:rRNA from 1 species
UACGAAGGGGGCUAGCGUUGCUCGGAAUCACUGGGCGUAAAGGGUGCGUAGGCGGGGCUUUAAGUCAGGGGUGAAAUCCUGGAGCUCAACUCCAGAACUGCCUUUGAUACUGAGGAUCUUGAGUACGGGAGAGGUGAGUGGAACUGCGAGUGUAGAGGUGAAAUUCGUAGAUAUUCGGAAGAACACCAGUGGCGAAGGCGACUUACUGGACACAUAUUGACGCUGAGGUGCGAAAGCGUGGGGAGCAAACAGG